AAAUAAAAAUGAAAAUUACUAAAACACCUUAUUAUUGUUUUAAAUAUAUAAAUGGCUAUUGUAUAAAAUAGGAAUAUAAAAAUUCAAAACCAUCUCAAACCACUGAUUUUGUGGUUUGAAAUCCUAUAGCAAAAUGAUGGUUAUGAAACCAUCAUGUUAUAAUCUAGGACCACCAUUUUUCAAUAACAAUCUAAACAAAUAAGGAGUAUAACCAUACCACACAAUAUUACAUCAUGAUAAACCAUCAUCCAGACAAGGAGUAACUAGUAUUGCACUUGCAUAUGAAUACAGAGUAAUAAAAAUGCCAAUGGAUAACAAUAUUGGCACCAUAUGUUAAAAAAUUAGUACCAAGCAUGGCCAAUCCUACAUAGGGCUGUGCAGUUUUCGGCGUGAACUGAAAAACCGAACCGAACCGAGCCAUUUCGGUUCAAUCAGUUCGGUUUUUUAAUUCUAUCGGUUCGGUUCGGUUCGGUUUAAUCGA
rnacentral:misc_RNA from 1 species